GGAAGACAUCAUAGGAAAGACAAAAAAAAAAGGAGCAUGGUUUUCUUGGAUCUCUCUCCCUCAAAGGUUUCUCUUCAACCAGAGGCUUAGAGAAACUUUUGUUGGAGAGGAACCCCAGAAUGGUCCAAUGCAUGCAUCAUCUGUUUCCCCCUUAGUUCUUUGGCUCUAAUCUAACAUUUCGUCUUUUCCUGUAGGUUAGCAGUAAUAUGCAAAAAUUAGGCUUUUUGGUGAACAUCAACAAGCGAGAAUAAGAUCUUUCAUCCGUCUUUCUCCAGCUCAAUGAUUUUGGUCGGGAUGAUGGCACAUAGUCUAUAAAGAAAGAUCCACAAUUAUCAAGUUUUACUUCACCCUGGCCUUGAGCAGUUUAAGAAUCAUGUCAGUUCUACAGGUGCACAACAAAAAUAGAAAGAUAAAAUUACCAACAAAUUAGCGACUCAUGCAGACCCUUACAAACAUCUUUAAAUUGAGGUCAACUACAGUAUACAGUUGAUACAGCAUCAUAUUACUCCUGUCGGAAGCCCUCGGAGCAAGAGUGAAGAUUACAGGCACCUGCUUUUCGCAGCUCGACUCAGACAAAGGCUUCAUUCCAAGUCCAUCAACUCCUAGAUUGGAUUCCGCCUAGCUUGAUUAGCAACUACGUUGCUGCUUCUGAAUGAAACGUGUCGCCGAAUCCACUUUCUGUUCCAAAUUCAGCAGACGAUGCUUCUAUAUCAUGUGUUCUUUCCCAA